AUUGAACGCUGGCGGCAGGCUUAACACAUGCAAGUCGAGCGGGGUGAUGGUGCUUGCACUAUCACUUAGCGGCGGACGGGUGAGUAACGCGUAGGAAUAUACCCUAAAGAGUGGGACAACCUGGGGAAACCCAGGCUAAUACCGCAUAAUAUCCGAGGAUAAAAGCUGGGGACCUAAGGGCCUGGCGCUUUAGGAAUAGCCUGCGUACGAUUAGCUAGUUGGUGGGGUAAGGGCCUACCAAGGCGACGAUCGUUAGCUGGUCUGAGAGGAUGGACAGCCACACUGGGACUGAGACACGGCCCAGACUCCUACGGGAGGCAGCAGUGGGGAAUAUUGGACAAUGGGGGACACCCUGAUCCAGCAAUGCCGCGUGUGUGAAGAAGGCCUGAGGGUCGUAAAGCACUAUCAGUGGGGAGGAGAGUUGCGAGGUUAAGAGCCAUGCAAUGAGACGAUACCCACAGAAGAAGCACCGGCUAACUCCGUGCCAGCAGCCGCCGUAA
rnacentral:rRNA from 1 species